GAAUCUUGCGCAAUGGGCGAAAGCCUGACGCAGCAACGCCGCGUGAGUGACGACGGCCUUAGGGUUGUAAAGCUCUUUUGGCGGGGACGAUAAUGACGGUACCCGCAGAAUAAGCCCCGGCUAACUUCGUGCCAGCAGCCGCGGUAAUACGAAGGGGGCUAGCGUUGUUCGGAAUCACUGGGCGUAAAGCGCACGUAGGCGGACUUUCAAGUCAGGGGUGAAAUCCCGGGGCUCAACCUCGGAACUGCCUUUGAUACUGUUGGUCUCGAGUCCGAUAGAGGUGGGUGGAAUUCCUAGUGUAGAGGUGAAAUUCGUAGAUAUUAGGAAGAACACCGGUGGCGAAGGCGGCCCACUGGAUCGGUACUGACGCUGAGGUGCGAAAGCGUGGGGAGCAAACAG
rnacentral:rRNA from 1 species